rnacentral:rRNA from 1 species
UACGAAGGGGGCUAGCGUUGUUCGGAAUUACUGGGCGUAAAGCGCACGUAGGCGGAUUGUUAAGUCAGAGGUGAAAUCCCGGAGCUCAACUCCAGAACUGCCUUUGAUACUGAGGAUCUUGAGUACGGGAGAGGUGAGUGGAACUGCGAGUGUAGAGGUGAAAUUCGUAGAUAUUCGCAAGAACACCAGUGGCGAAGGCGGCUCACUGGCCCGUAACUGACGCUGAGGCACGAAAGCGUGGGGAGCAAACAGG